AGGACGAACGCUGGCGGCGUGCCUAACACAUGCAAGUCGACGAACGAAGUCCUCGGGGACCGAGUAGUGGCGGACGGGUGAGUAACGCGUGAGCAACCUGCCUUUCAGAGGGGGAUAACGUUUGGAAACGAACGCUAAUACCGCAUAACAUAUACCUGCGGCAUCGCAGGGAUAUCAAAGGAGCAAUCCGCUGAAAGAUGGGCUCGCGUCUGAUUAGAUAGUUGGUGGGGUAACGGCCUACCAAGUCGACGAUCAGUAGCCGGACUGAGAGGUUGAACGGCCACAUUGGGACUGAGACACGGCCCAGACUCCUACGGGAGGCAGCAGUGGGGGAUAUUGCACAAUGGGCGCAAGCCUGAAUGCAGCAACGCCGCGUGAGGGAAGACGGUUUUCGGAUUGUAAACCUCUGUUCUUGGUGAAGAAGAAAGUGACGGUAGCCAAGGAGAAAGCCACGGCUAACUACGUGCCAGCCGCAGC
rnacentral:rRNA from 1 species